GUGAGGCGGCAUUUCCAAAGUAGUGAAAUACCGGUGAAUAUUAAAUCAAGAGUUGUGGCCGUAUAAAUAAUGGGUUUAAAAUGGUACACUGGAGACGAGUAGCAGUCCUGAUUAUCACGUUACUGCGUUUGGUUGUCGCGUGCGGCGGAAGAAAAAGAGUGACUUGCACCCCUGGAAAUCCCCCGUGCAAACGGUGAAAGCGGGGAAUGGACACAGAGUUAUAUCAAGAAGUGGUGGUUCUACUAGUGACUCUCCUACUUUCCUACCUGGAGUCCUGCUUCGCGUGUACCAGAGUUCGCUACAACGACUGCUCUGACACUAGUGCUAAGUGCCGAAAGUGAACCUUGGAAAAUUCAAACAUGCCGUACAUCAGUGAAUUUGUUCUGGUCUUUAUUCAUAUCGCUCUUUGUGUAAUGAACGCGGGAGAAGCAUGCAACAGAGAUAGGAAGCAUUGCUGCCAGAGUGACUGCAGACCAUGUAAUCAGUUUGGUGGUCCAAAAGCUAGGGGCAAGCAUUCGACGUGACUGGUGAAAUAGCAAAACAUGUCGCCGAAGAAGUUAUUGCUAAUCUUUCUAGUCCUUAUAACGUGGACACUGGUGCUUUGCUGUAAACGCAAGAAUGCAAAACCUCCGUGUCCCAAAUAUUGCAUUCCUUGCAAGUAUAAGGGGCCUAUUAUAGAAGUUUUAUAUCCAAAACAGGGAAACAAAACUAUAAUUUUAUCACCGGUACAAAAGUAAAUACGAAUUGGCCAGUAGGAUUUACUCAUACAUAAAAAUAACGUAUCCC